rnacentral:lncRNA from 1 species
GCGCCUUGCGGGAUUUGCGGGAAUUAUGCGUACGACAAAGGAUAUGCCUCGGUACUUGCUAGAUCUGAGCCGAUAUAGAGGAGGAAGAAAUUGGGGGUGAGAGAGAAGGAUCGCGGUGAGAGAAAAUGAAAGGAUUGAGGGUGGGAAAGAGAACAGAUCAGGAGAGGUGGGAUUGGCGACGCGUAAGCGCUCUUAGCAAUAGAUAAAGGGAACGGAUAGCGGGUGAGAGAGAGGAAACAUAUCAGGAGAAACGGGGACAUGUAA